rnacentral:lncRNA from 1 species
GCCAAGAACAAGCCAUGAGAGUCAAGACAAAGAUCCACCCAGAGGAAAGGUGUUCUUACCAUACAUCAAGGGAACCACUGACUACAUAGGCAAACUGAUGAAGAAGCACAACCUACAAACCUACAAACUAUCUAUAGACCCACAAAGAAAAUCCAACAAAUGCUACGGUCAGCAAAAGACAAGAGGGAUCCUCUCUCCUCUGCAGGAGUCUACCGGAUACCAUGCAGCUGUGGACAAGUAUACAUAGGGUCCACCAAAUGCAGUGCCCAAACAAGAGUCAAAGAACAUGAAAGGCACGGCAGACUAAUUCAACCAGAGAAAUCAGCCAUAGCAGAGCACUUGAUGAACCAGCCUGGACACAGUAUAUUAUUUGAGAACACAGAAAUGCUGCCAGAUUUUGUUCAUUUUCACGGUUUCUUCCUUUCUGUUGAAGUUGUCCACAUGCUUGUGGAUUUCAAUGGCUUCUCUGUGUAGUCUGAAAUGAUUGUUGUUGGAAUGGUCCAGCAUUUCUGUGUUCUCAAAUAAUAUACUGUGUCCAGGCUGGUUCAUCAAGUGCUCUGCUAUGGCUGAUUUCUCUGGUUGAAUUAGUCUGCAAGAUAUGCAAGAUAACUUAAGCACCCUCUUCAAUAUCUUCUUAAGCAUAAAGUCAGGUGAAAGCAAGAGAAAAGAAUAUGAAGAUGCAAGUGAUGGAGUAUAAGAAGAAGGAAAGGGAAAUAUGACGUGGGCCCCUUCCACACAGCUGAACAAAAUCUCACAUUAUCUGCUUUGAAUUGGAAUAUAUGCCAUUGUCGACUCAGAUAAUCCAGUUCAAAGCAGAUUUGUGGGAUUUUCUGCCUUGAUAUUCUGGGUAAUAGGGCUAUGUGGAAGGGUCCUUGGAUUGAGGAGAAGCAGAAGAAGGCAAAGGAAGGUAAGAGAUGUAGUGGCAGAAUGUAAAUAUGCCAAGGCUCAGUAAGGACCUCAUCACACUUACUAAAACAAACAUUCUAAGACACUUUGAGCCUUCUCUAGGGACACAGCCCCACACCAGCCAUCAGAUAACAUUGUGCGACUUCGUGCGAAGGCUCUACCCUCAAUCUUGGAUACUUUCCCCCAACACUGGAGCCUCCUUGUGUUAUACUGGCUCCAAUUGAGCCAGCACAUUUUUGCUCUGUUUGGGCAACACUUUCCCUUUGUGAUAGAAGCAGCAUUGCCACAUCAGAGUGAGUAG